rnacentral:rRNA from 1 species
UACGAAGGUCCCGAGCGUUGUUCGGAAUCACUGGGCGUAAAGGGAGCGUAGGCGGCGCGGUAAGUCAGAUGUGAAAUCCCGGGGCUCAACCCCGGAACUGCAUCCGAUACUGCCGUGCUAAAGGAUUGGAGAGGUAGCUGGAAUUCUUGGUGUAGCAGUGAAAUGCGUGGAGAUCAAGAGGAACACUCGUGGCGAAAGCGAGCUACUGGACAAUAUCUGACGCUGAGGCUCGAAGGCCAGGGUAGCGAAAGGG